UAUUUAAAGUGAGGCCUGCCCAGUGCUAAUUUGUAAACGGCCGCAGUACCUUGACUGUGCUAAGGUAGCAUAAUCAAUUGGCUUUUAAAUGGAGUCGGGAAUGAAUGGAUUAAUAGGGUUAAGCUGUCUCUAUUAUAUUAGAUUGAACUUGCUUAUUAGGUGAAAAUACCUAAUUGAAGAAAAAAGACGAGAAGACCCUAGGAGUUUCUAACUAGAUGUUAUUUGUGAUAACUAAUGUUUUUGUUGGGGCGACAUUGGAACAAAUAUUUAACUUCCUUUAUUUUAUUGGCCGACUUUGUAUGGGAAUUUAAACUACCCUAGGGAUAACAGCGUAAUUCUUUUGAGUUUGCGACCUCGAUGUUGGACUAGGAAUUUGAUAGGCUAGCCGCCUAUUUAUAUUGUUCUGUUCGAA
rnacentral:rRNA from 1 species